rnacentral:rRNA from 1 species
CAGUAGCCGCGGGAAUACGGAGGGUGCAAGCGUUAAUCGGAAUUACUGGGCGUAAAGCGUGCGUAGGCGGUUCGUUAAGUCUGUUGUGAAAGCCCCGGGCUCAACCUGGGAAUGGCAAUGGAUACUGGCGAGCUAGAGUGUGUCAGAGGAUGGUGGAAUUCCCGGUGUAGCGGUGAAAUGCGUAGAGAUCGGGAGGAACAUCAGUGGCGAAGGCGGCCAUCUGGGACAACACUGACACUGAGGCACGAAAGCGCGGGGAGCAAACAGGAUUAGAUACCCCAGUAGUCCCUGUCUCUUAUAC